rnacentral:rRNA from 1 species
CGGACGGUGCGAGCAUACGCGACGGUAAAACGUAUUGUGCGAACGUGAUGAGGUAUCAUGGGUAUUAACGGGUGCGUAGGCGGCGAUGCAAGUCAGAUUUGAAAUGCGUGAGCUCAACGGAGGCAUUGCGUUUGAAACUGAAUGGCUAGAGUAUUUCAGGGGUUGGCGGAGCGGCCAGUGGAACGGUGAAAUGUGUUGAGAUUGGCAGGAACACCGGAGGCGAAAGCGGCACACUGGGGAAUAACUGUCGCUGAGGCACGAAAGCCAAGGGAGCGAACGGGAUUAGAUACCCUGGUAGUC